rnacentral:rRNA from 1 species
UUUUAAUCGAUGGGGGGACGCAGUAGGAUAGGCGAAGCGUGCGAUUGGAUUGCACGUCUAAGCAGUAAGGCUGAGUAUUAGGCAAAUCCGGUACUGGUUGAGGCUGAGCUGUGAUGGGGAGAAGACAUUGUGUCUUCGAGUCGUUGAUUUCACACUGCCGAGAAAAGCCUCUAGAUAGAAAAUAGGUGCCCGUACCGCAAACCGACACAGGUAGUCAAGAUGAGAAUUCUAAGGUGAGCGAGCGAACUCUCGUUAAGGAACUCGGCAAAAUGACCCCGUAACUUCGGGAGAAGGGGUGCUCUUUAGGGUUAACGCCCAGAAGAGCCGCAGUGAAUAGGCCCAAGCGACUGUUUAUCAAAAACACAGGUCUCUGCUAAACCGUAAGGUGAUGUAUAGGGGCUGACGCCUGCCCGGUGCUGGAAGGUUAAGAGGAGUGGUUAGCUUCUGCGAAGCUACGAAUCGAAGCCCCAGUAAACGGCGGCCGUAACUAUAACGGUCCUAAGGUAGCGAAAUUCCUUGUCGGGUAAGUUCCGACCCGCACGAAAGGCGUAACGAUUUGGGCACUGUCUCAACGAGAGACUCGGUGAAAUCAUAGUACCUGUGAAGAUGCAGGUUACCCGCGACAGGACGGAAAGACCCCGUGGAGCUUUACUGUAGCCUGAUAUUGAAAUUCGGCACAGCUUGUACAGGAUAGGUAGGAGCCUUUGAAACGUGAGCGCUAGCUUACGUGGAGGCGCUGGUGGGAUACUACCCUAGCUGUGUUGGCUUUCUAACCCGCACCACUUAUCGUGGUGGGAGACAGUGUCAGGCGGGCAGUUUGACUGGGGCGGUCGCCUCCUAAAAGGUAACGGAGGCGCUCAAAGGUUCCCUCAGAAUGGUUGGAAAUCAUUCAUAGAGUGUAAAGGCAUAAGGGAGCUUGACUGCGAGACCUACAAGUCGAGCAGGGUCGAAAGACGGACUUAGUGAUCCGGUGGUUCCGCAUGGAAGGGCCAUCGCUCAACGGAUAAAAGCUACCCCGGGGAUAACAGGCUUAUCUCCCCCAAGAGUUCACAUCGACGGGGAGGUUUGGCACCUCGAUGUCGGCUCAUCGCAUCCUGGGGCUGUAGUCGGUCCCAAGGGUUGGGCUGUUCGCCCAUUAAAGCGGUACGCGAGCUGGGUUCAGAACGUCGUGAGACAGUUCGGUCCCUAUCCGUCGUGGGCGUAGGAAAUUUGAGAGGAGCUGUCCUUAGUACGAGAGGACUGGGAUGGACAUACCUCUGGUGUACCAGUUGUCGUGCCAACGGCAUAGCUGGGUAGCUAUGUGUGGACGGGAUAAGUGCUGAAAGCAUCUAAGCAUGAAGCCCCCCUCAAGAUGAGAUUUCCCAACUUCGGUUAUAAGAUCCCUCAAAGAUGAUGAGGUUAAUAGGUUCGAGGUGGAAGCAUGGUGACAUGUGGAGCUGACGAAUACUAAUCGAUCGAAGACUUAAUCAA